rnacentral:rRNA from 1 species
UCGGGAAUCUUGCACAAUGGGCGAAAGCCUGAUGCAGCGAUGCUGCGUGAGGGAUGAAGGCCUUCGGGUUGUAAACCUCUUUUGCCAGGGAAGAAGCCACGGGUCACCGUGGUGACGGUACCUGGAGAAAAAGCCCCGGCUAACUACGUGCCAGCAGCCGCGGUAAAACGUAGGGGCGAGCGUUGCCCGGAUUCACUGGGCGUAAAGCGGGUGUAGGCGGUCCUUUAAGUCGGAUGUGAAAUCCCACGGCCCAACCGUGGAACUGCAUCCGAUACUGAUGGACUUGAGGACGGUAGAGGUCGGUGGAAUUCCGGGUGUACCGGUGAAAUGGGCAGAUAUCCGGAGGAACACCAGUGGCGAAGGCGGCCGACUGGGCCGAUCCUGACGCUGAGACCCGAAAGCCAGGGGAGCAAACCG